rnacentral:rRNA from 1 species
AACAAACGCUGGCGGCGUGUCUUAAGCAUGCAAGUUGAGCGGCAAGGAGGAGAGAUCCUCCCUAGAGCGGCGGACUGGUGAGUAACGCGUGGGUAAUCUAUCGUAGGCAUGGGGAUAGUCACUAGAAAUAGUGGGUAAUACCGAAUACGUUCCAUGAGGGGAGUAUUCAUGGAAGAAAGGGUGCUACGGCACUGGCCUUAGGUGAGCUCGCGUCCCAUUAGCUAGUUGGUGAGGUAAAGGCCCACCAAGGCGAUGAUGGGUAGCCGGCCUGAGAGGGUGUACGGCCACACUGGGACUGAGAUACGGCCCAGACUCCUACGGGAGGCAGCAGCUAAGAAUAUUCCGCAAUGGACGAAAGUCUGACGGAGCGACGCCGCGUGGAUGAAGAAGGCCGAAAGGUUGUAAAGUUCUUUUGCUAGGGGAGAAUAAGUGAGGAGGGAAUGCCCUCAUGAUGACAAGGACUAGCGAAUAAGCCCCGGCCAACUACGUGCCAGC